UUAAUGCUCAUCCUUUUGUAUUAGGACCUGGAAAGUUGUAGGCUUCCGGUGGGCCCUUUCUUUUUGGGGGAAAGUAGGUGUGCUGUUUGAGGAGGGCAAUUCCGUGUCCAGUCCAAAACUGUGGCUUCGGCAAGUUGACGCCCUUGACGCCCAAGUUUCUGCGAAGCGGAAUUUUGCCGGAGGCAUGUGAAGUAGAUGCUGUGCAUGCUGUGCGUGGAAGCGUGGACACUAAGUUACGUUUAAGACCAUUUUAAAAUUGGUUGCUGGGAGAGUGGGUGAGCGAGCUAGUCUCCGGAGGUUCUGUGAAGUCUACGAGUGGUGUGUAUUCCCACCAUUCUGCAAUUAGAGAAAGGAUUGCGACAACGUCGUAAUGUUGCAGAAAUCAUAUGAUGUAUUUGACCUGCGGUCUAUUGUGCUUUUUGGACAUAGGUGGCUUUCUUGGAUCAUGCGUUUGAUAUCAACCAAGGCAGCUUCAAAACACUCACAUCGAUUGUAUUUCUGGCGAAGGGUUUAUGGCAAGCAUUGGGUUUCUUCGAUCUUGUUGUCUUCGAUCUGAUUUUUCUAUCUUACGUUCACAGUUUUUAGCGGCUGUAAGUUCUGGAGAGUGGUAGCAGUUUCAUGUUUUUAAAGUUAGAGAGUGUUUAGUAUAGCAGCACAAAUCCUGCAAUGGUGCUGCAGGAGGCAUAUCCUUAGACUUGGCCGCUGUCAAAGAGAUGCUUGAUUAGCAACCCUUUGGUGCAGAUAAAAAAUAAGUGUGUAGUCUACACCAGCCGGAACAUCAGAUGCUCAAUGCAGCGAACCGUUCUCUCCCACAGACAUGCGCGCAUAUGAGGUAUAAUGAAGAAGAUUCUGAGGAGUACUAUCAAAUGCUGUGAGGAGUGCAUUUAAACAAUACCUCUUACUUUGAGUAUCUGA